GUCACAGUACUUCAGGACGCAGAAGCAGCACCUUUUCCCUGCUGUGAAUGACGUCUACAUGAGUAAGCAGGCUGAUAUCCUGGACCAGCUUCGUCCGGUGCCCCUGGUCCUUGCCGGAGACGGCAGGUGUGACUCACCUGGCCACACAGCACUCUAUGGUACAUACACUCUUCUGGAGACAGCUGUCAACCGCAUUAUCCACUUCGAAUUGGUGAAGUCAACCGAGGUCUCCAGCAGCAAUGCCAUGGAAGCGUACGGCCUUCAGAAAUGCCUAGCAUUCCUCGAGGUCCAAGACA